rnacentral:rRNA from 1 species
CCACAUACCGUGGCGUGUUUGGGAUGGGGGCUAGGUAACCACAAAGUGGGAAAGAAGGGGAAAGGAGGGGAAGGGAAGUCGGCGGUGUGGAGGAGAGUGCACGAACGGCGGCGGUGCCGGAGCGACGCGGGCGGUGAUCUAGACGCGGGAGCUCCCACUGCCGCUCGACUUCUGCUACUCGUCGCCGCGCACCCCAAGCACGUCCAGGAGCCGAGCGGGCAUGGAGUGGUCAGGCGGCCCGUUCGUUCGGGCACCCUCUGCUCGCGUGCCUCCAGUCGCCGUUCACGAGGUCUCUCCUCUCUUCCGCCGUGAGAUCCACCGCCGCGACCCGGUCGUUUUAGUCCACCACCGACUCCAUGUGCUCUCGCUCCACCACGACCUUGCGUACCCCCGGCCGUCGUUCAGCGGCUUUCACGUGUUGGUGAGGCUGCUCCACCACCACCGGACGAACGGGUACACCCUCCCCUUCCUCCGGUUGCUGAUCCUCUUCCUCGUACCUAGUAUUAGCUACAAUACCCAUUUUGACGAUUGUUUAACGACGUAGUAGUACCCCAAACUCUACACAUCUAGGUCAAGCUUCCUAGUCAACGUCUGAAGGGCCUCUUUAUUUGGUUCUACCCAUAAUAGAGCAUGUGGUGUUCCUUGGACGGGAGGACGAGUCCAAGACAUCGGUACCGGGAGCUCAAUCGCCUCUUACCAAUACUACUUCUGAGACUAAUGCCAAGAAUCUAGGAUACACGGACGAAAUAAUAAGACGACGACACUUUGUCCGGAACAGCGGUGGAGUGAACAGUAGCAUCAGCAGGGAUGGAGUGAGGGGAGACGGGAACUCCGUUCCUGGGAACUACCCAGUACGAAAACCGAUGGAAAACGCAAGGAACUGUAGUAGCUUCAACUUUAUUCUUCUUCUACUACUACUUUAGAACGGCUCUAGACUCCUACUUCUCUUCUAUACCCAAUUGAAAGUCUCACUAACUCAACCAGUUUUUUAUACUUCGUGUAGUUUCCCCGAACAACGAACCGACGAUACCUCUUCCCAUAAGAAACUUCCUCAACAUCUGGAAAACCUAUACGAAGUUAAACCUGUGAAAAAGUCAUACAUAUACUAUACCCGUCUGGGUCACGUAUCUUCGAGGGUGUGUUCCACCCCAGACCCCUCCCUAAUAUCCUUGGAUCAGAAUGGGGACGUUUCACGUUACGUCUCUCCGACCAAGCUUGGGUCCUGGAGAACCGUGUUCACCCCUCCUGAAGUGGUGACGCGGUCCGGACGGGAGUUUGUACUAUAGAUGCAUAGACUCUUAAAAAUAAACACCCUUUACUUUUUGAAUUACACCGACCUCAAGAUGCGCCUAAUUUAGAUUAAUAGGAAUAUAAAGUUGAGGUUACUGAGCCGGAGUGUACUUACGCCAAAACCCGUACACAAAGCCAAGUAACCCAAAGCUGCCUUAGUUUCCAGUCCUUUUUAUAUAUCCACAAUCAAGUAAUAGAAAAGUCCAAAGAAUUAAUAAGUAUGUAAACGUAGAUACAAUGUCCACGAUCGAAAGUACCGAUCCUAAAAAAAUCGUAUAAGUUUAGACAUAAUCUUAUUCCAAAGGGGGAACCUACAAGGAAUACAUAGGUAUAUAAUCUAAAAACACACCAAGUAAACAACGUUUAUAUAUUUAUUAUUAGACUAACUGAUAUACGUCUAAACCAAACUUUAGAAUUUCGUCAGAGACUGUUCAACAUCCACUUCUUCUAGUACAGGAUCGUCAAUAUACGUGCACCUCAUGUAAAUAACAUACGUAAAACAAAUCUUCAUAAGUCAAAGUAUCGUAUUAGUUCACAAAAAGUUAUGAGAGAGAGAGUGUGUGUGUGUUACAGAAAUUAAAGACAAAAAAAUUACAUAACCGGAGACUUACUAGACGUACCAUAUAUAGAUAUAGCGACUUACUGGAGCUGAACAUGGAAACACCAAACGUUUGUGAUUUUGUACACAACGAUGUCUCAAUAGAAUCAAAACUGCAACUAGCCACGUCCACCCAAGAGUACCAUCCUAAACUAGGUGAGCCUAUAGUUACCAUGACUAUGAAUUCAACCGAAAGAAAUUUUUUUAUUUCAUACAAUACACAAUCAAACCCGCGUUCGGACAUAGUACUUAUGUAUGACGAGUGUCACGUAAACGUACUCUUCGGGAAGUGUUCUUUUUUGAUAUGUAAGUGUAAAAAAAACGCCUUUGAUAUAUAAAUGAAUAAUAAGUCUCGAGUGACAUACUUUAGGCUCACCACGAGUUCUACAAUUAAUUGAUCGAAACACUUACCCCACCACUUUUUAUGACGAGUGAAAUAAACAAACCAGCGUUCGGAUAUAGUACAUGUGUAUGACGAGUUAAAUAAACUUGGAAGUCUUUUAUUUAGUUAAACGAGUUCGGAAAGACGACAACUAAGGUCAAGUAACCUCAUUGAAAUUAUAAAGAAGAGUAACGUAGUUAAUUGUACUUACGUUUUAUCUAAACAACAGAAUACGAUAGGGCAUAGUCCCUACUACGGUGAUUCAACAAUAUUAAUACGAACAUCAGGAACAGCCUCAAACCCAUGACGUGAAAUAUUACGUUUCCUUACCAUAUUUGAUAUCGACCAAGAAAGUACAUCAUACGGAAAAAGAUAUUACAUUCAAUACCUACGCCAUGAAGAAGCUUUGGAAGUAUUACGAAAAACAGUACGUUGUUGAACGAUUGUUCAGGACCAGACAACGUCAACUAACGUGUACACCUCACGAAGACCUACGUAAAUAACAGAGUACAGUGUUCCUAAAUGUUGAAAAUGCUCUUACGCCCACAUCUCAUAACUAUUAAGGUCUACCAAGUGAAGGAUGUUAUCUCGUGGGAUGUCAUGAUAGUUAAUAAGUCAGUCUCUUGGUGUGAUACGACUUAUAUAACCACCUAGUCCAUGUAGCUAUUCGUGGGUUACAAGUCAGUCUACUUCUCUCACUUUUAUAUAGCCACCUAGUCCAUGUAACUAUUCGUGGGUUACAAGUCAGUCUACUUCUCUCACUUUUGUCGCAAAUGAGACUUAAAAGUCUGUCUCACCGCUACGUCGACCUUCAAACUCCGUGAUCUAAGGGGGACUACCUCCUUGUUAGUUCAAUUUAAAUCUACGAAGUAAGAAACGACUCUGAACCUCCUCGAUAUAGCCCCGGUAGCGGCCCCUAGAAAAAAACCACAAAGAAGAUAAAUAGGUUCUCGUAACUGUUUACAUCAAGACACCUUCUCCGACUCCGAGUCCGCUACGAUCUACCUAACUGUCGAGACUGUAGAUACAUGUUGUUACAGACAAAGGGUUGAAGUACGCUGUAAUUCUGGUCGAGAAGAAGACAAGAACAGGUUCAGGCCCGUCGUCUUGGUCAUAUGGUAGCGGGUACGGGAACCACACACACACGGUCUUGAUUUCUCUUGUAUGAGUUCUAACGUCUAUAGGGUCGCCUCAAUGUACCCCGUCAAUUUAGACUAACAUUUGUUCCAAGGGCUCAUCAAAGAUGAGACAUAGAUUUUGUACGUAGGCUACCUUAAAAAAAAAAUUAUAACACUACAUAAAGUCCUUCGCCUAAUCCUCGUGAGCCCACGAGAUGGGGGGACACAUCGUGGGCUCUCGAGGAUACGUAAAAGCACGUAAAGUGAGGAAAACAGUACCUUCAUCUAUUCCGGAGUGGCCAAGCCCACACUGGCAUUUAAUACAGUCAAUAAAACUUCAAUAAGAUUAGAGCAUGUGUGUGUUUAAACGUUA